AACCGGAUUAGAUACCCUGGUAGUCCACGCUGUAAACGAUGUCGAUUUGGAGGUUGUGCCCUUGAGGCGUGGCUUCCGGAGCUAACGCGUUAAAUCGACCGCCUGGGGAGUACGGCCGCAAGGUUAAAACUCAAAUGAAUUGACGGGGGCCCGCACAAGCGGUGGAGCAUGUGGUUUAAUUCGAUGCAACGCGAAGAACCUUACCUACUCUUGACAUCCAGAGAACUUAGCAGAGAUGCUUUGGUGCCUUCGGGAACUCUGAGACAGGUGCUGCAUGGCUGUCGUCAGCUCGUGUUGUGAAAUGUUGGGUUAAGUCCCGCAACGAGCGCAACCCUUAUCCUUUGUUGCCAGCGGUUCGGCCGGGAACUCAAAGGAGACUGCCAGUGAUAAACUGGAGGAAGGUGGGGAUGACGUCAAGUCAUCAUGGCCCUUACGAGUAGGGCUACACACGUGCUACAAUGGCGUAUACAAAGAGAAGCGACCUCGCGAGAGCAAGCGGACCUCAUAAAGUACGUCGUAGUCCGGAUUGGAGUGGGGAACUCGACUCCAUG
rnacentral:rRNA from 1 species